rnacentral:rRNA from 1 species
CCCUUAGAUGUCCUAGGCCGCACGCGCGCUACACUGAGUGUCUGAGAUACGAGUCUGCCUGGUCCGGCAAGGUCUAGGUAAUCGCUAAAAGACACAUCAUGCUUGGGAUAGAUUAUUGCAAAUAUUAAUCUUGAACGAGGAAUUCCUAGUAAGCGCAAGUCAACAGCUUGCGUUGAUUACGUCCCUGCCCUUUGUACACACCGCCCGUCGCUACUACUGAUUGGAUGUUUAAGCGAGGUUCUCGAACUGCUAGCGACUUAGCUUCGGUGAGGUCGCAGUGUGGGAAGUGAACCUAGCUUUGGUGUCUAGAGGAAGUAAAAGUCGUAACA